rnacentral:tRNA from 1 species
GCCGAAGUGGUGAAAUUGGUAAACGCACCGGUUUCAGGGACCGGCGGGAGCAAUCCCUUGGGGGUUCGAGUCCCCCCUUCGGCACCA